rnacentral:rRNA from 4 species
GGUCACACCCGUUCCCAUACCGAACACGGAAGUUAAGCUCUUCAGCGCCGAUGGUAGUUGGGGGUUUCCCCCUGUGAGAGUAGGACGUUGCUAGGC